AUGACAGAGACGUCCUUUGUGUUCAGAUUGCUGGCCUCUGUCAUGACCUGGGUCAUGGACCCUUUUCCCAUCUGUAUGAUGGAAUGUUCCUCCCCAAAGCACUG